AACGAACGCUGGCGGCAUGCCUAACACAUGCCAGUCGAACGAGACCUUCGGGUCUAGUGGCGCACGGGUGCGUAACGCGUGGGAACCUGCCCUUAGGUUCGGAAUAACUCCCCGAAAGGGGUGCUAAUACCGGAUAAUUUCUUCGGACCAAAGAUUUAUCGCCUUUGGAUGGGCCCGCGUUGGAUUAGCUAGUUGGUAGGGUAAAAGCCUACCAAGGCGACGAUCCAUAGCUGGUCUGAGAGGAUGAUCAGCCACACUGGGACUGAGACACGGCCCAGACUCCUACGGGAGGCAGCAGUGGGGAAUAUUGGACAAUGGGCGAAAGCCUGAUCAAGCAAUGCCGCGUGAGUGAUGAAGGCCUUAGGGUUGUAAAGAUCUUUUACCCGGGAUGAUAAUGACAGUACCGGGAGAAUAAGCUCCGGCUAACUCCGUG
rnacentral:rRNA from 1 species